UAGCUCAGCGGGAGAGCGCUUCCCUGACACGGAAGAGGUCACUGGUUCAAUCCCAGUAUCGCGCA
rnacentral:tRNA from 1 species